rnacentral:piRNA from 1 species
UCGGAGAAAACGUUACCUGUGAGAACUCU